CUUUGUGACUCCUUGCUCAGUUUCCUAGACGAAUUAUGAUAGGGUUUUUGUUUCUUAUUUUGCAGUAUGUGGAAUAUCUUUUGUUUACUACUGAUAUAUUUAUAAGAUAAGUCAUUUUAAGAUGGAAUUGUGAUCAUUUGACCUAUGACACAGUCUGCCCAAGUGGUGCAAAAUUCCAUAUGCGUUUACAUCCCUGUGCUAAAGCCUGUAUUGUAAAGGAUGAUCUGGAUUUUCUGUUUCCUGUUUCUUUCGUGUGUGUGCAGUGGCACUGUGGCACAAAAUGCUCAUAAAAUACCAGCUCUUACUCUGCAGGAAUAUUUUAAUGUUUUGCAGCCAGGGAAAACAGCAUUAAUUUACUUUAGUCAGUCAAUAAAUUCCAGUGUAAAGCAUUUUCUUGAACAGCUUGAGAAGUGUGUUGAAACAUUGAAAGAAUAUGGGAUUACAGUUGCAAAGGUAAAGUG